GCCGCCCCCUCCUCUGCUGGCUGGACCCAUGCAUGCCCCGCGCCUCUGCAGCCCCCAGCCGUCCUGAACGCCUCCCCGGGGCCAGACACCUCAGGGUGGUCCUGGCCCUGCAGCGGGGCUGGGGAGGGGGCCAAAGCUGGCGGGGAUUGGGAGGGAGCAUCACACAUGCUCAGGGUCCUGCCCUGGGAGAGACCAGCUGACCCUCAUUCCCUGACUUCCUGAGGACUAGGGGUCGGGGAGACGCUCUCCUUCUGGGUCCUGCCGGGAGGCACUCAGAGUGAAGGGCCCCAGGCACCGAGCAACCGCCCCCCGGGGACUUGACACUCCCACGCCACUCUCCAUACUCAGCCUGGACUCAGGCAUGAGGCCCCUGGGCCCCGGGGGCAGGAGGUGGCUGGCCGGCCUGGGCCUGAGGAGUCCACCUCUGUGGGGGCCACCUCCCUACCCUUGCCUGCCGCCCUAGCCCCAGCCCCAGCCCCAGCCUCUGCCCCUGCUUCCUGCCCCUCCCCCUGCCCCACCCCAGGGAAGCAGCCCCUAUCCUUUCCUCAGGACUUCAUUUCGUUGCCCCUUAACUAUCAGGAGGGACGUUAAUGACACCAUAAAACCCAGAGCUCCAUAAAAGCCAUUUCUGCAGAUUCACAGCUGUUUUCGCUCAUUGGAAGGCGGGGCCUGGGCCCCGCCCGCCUCAUCCCUCCCCCGCCCAAACCACGGCCCCUGAUUUGCUGCGAGCUCCACAGUGCCAGGCGUGCAGGGCUGCUUCUCUAACUCACAUCGGCUUUUUAUAGGGUGUGUAAUUAACCCGCUGAUUUUCUUUGUAGCAAGACACCCUGCAGCCCUGGGCCUCCCCAGCCGCCCAGCCGCCCUGACCUCAGGGUCAGGUGGGUCAGGUGCUGUGUUUUACAGCGUUGCACCCGGUGGGUUGUACGCUUCUGGGUGGUGUGACGCCGGAGGGCUGUCUCCCUGGGGGAGCCCUGCCCUCCUCGGGUCCCCGGUCACAGCCAUGGGUGACGGCCCUGCACUGCCCCUUCCUCCCACCGCCCAGGCGGUCUCAGCAUGUCAGCCACUCCUGAAUGGAGCCGCACUCUGGCCAGGAGCUGUGCCAGCACUGGGCUCCAGCUGGGGACACGGCAGGCAGACCUGCCAGUGUGGGAAGUGGCUGGCGAUAACACGCUGUGUGAUGCAGGUCAGGAUCGGGCAGAGUGAGGGGCCAGGACCCCUACCAGCAGGUGAGGUAAGCGGUGUGUGCCAGCCCGAGGGUCCCAGAGGGGCCAGGCUCAGGGGUGCCCCAUUUGGAGCCUGCUUCUGUGUCUGAGAGCCCCUGGGCAGCUGGGGCCUCCCUGCCCUGAGCCUCCUUGCCAGAGCCCCUGGGCAGCUGGGGCCUCCCUGCCCUGAGCCUCCUUGCCAGAGCCCCUGGGCAGCUCUUCUACUUCCAGACUGCGUGUGUUAUUCAUGGUCUUCUCCCCAAAGAGCUCCUUUGCAUGUUUCCUGAAGAACCCGUAAUUAAUGUGCCAGCUACUUGCAACUUAAUCCCCCAUGGCCGCGUCACGGGAGUGACAGGUGGUGGCAAGGACAGGCCCGGCCUGCUGCUGGGGCCAUGGGGGUUCCUGUGUGUGCACACCAGGUGCUGGCAUGAACAGGUGUGUGUGCUGGUCCCUAGCAUGUGCAGGUGUGUGUGCUGGUCCCUGGCAUGAACAGGUGUGUGUGUGCUGGUCCCUGGCAUGUGCAGGUGUGUGUGCUGGUCCCUAGCAUGAGCAGGUGUGUGCAUCAGGCCCUGGCAUGUGCAGGUGUGUGUACUGGUCCCUGGCAUGAACAGGUGUUUGUGCAUCAGGCCCUGGCAUGUGCAGGUGUGUGUGCUGGUCCCUAGAUGAGCAGGUGUGUGCAUUAGGCCCUGGCAUGAGCAGGUGUGUGUGCUGGUCCCUGGAUGAGCAGGUGUGUGCAUUAGGCCCUGGCAUGAGCAGGUGUGUGUGCUGGUCCCUGGAUGAGCAGGUGUGUGCAUCAGGCCCUGGCAUGAACAGGUGUGUGUGCAUCAGGCCCUGGCAUGUGCAGGUGUGUGUGCUGGUCCCUGGCACGAGCAGGUGUGUGCAUCAGGCCCUGGCACGAACAGGUGUGUGUGCAUCAGGCCCUGGCACGUGCAGGUGUGUGUGCUGGUCCCUGGCACGAGCAGGUGUGUGCAUCAGGCCCUGGCAUGAGCAGGUGUGUGUGCAUCAGGCCCUGGCAUGUGCAGGUGUGUGUGCUGGUCCCUGGAUGAGCAGGUGUGUGCAUCAGGCCCUGGCAUGAGCAGGUGUGUGUGCAUCAGGCCCUGGCAUGAACAGGUGUGUGUGCUGGUCCCUGGCAUGAACAGGUGUGUGUGUGCUGGUCCCUGGAUGAGCAGGUGUGUGCAUUAGGCCCUGGCAUGAGCAGGUGUGUGUGCUGGUCCCUGGCAUGAACAGGUGUGUAUGUGCUGGUCCCUGGCAUGUGCAGGUGUGUGUGCUGGUCCCUGGCAUGAGCAGGUGUGUGCAUCAGGCCCUGGCAUGAGCAGGUGUGUGUGCUGGUCCCUGGAUGAGCAAGUGUGUGCAUUAGGCCCUGGCAUGAGCAGGUGUGUGUACUGGUCCCUGGCAUGAGCAGGUGUGUGUGCAUCAGGCCCUGGAAUGUGCAGGUGUGUGUGCUGGUCCCUGGCACGGGCAGGUGUGUGUGCUGAUCCCUGCCAUGUGCAGGUGUGUGUGUGCUGGUCCCUGGAUGAGCAGGUGUGUGCAUUAGGCCCUGGCAUGAGCAGGUGUGUGUGCUGGUCCCUGGCAUGAACAGGUGUGUGUGUGCUGGUCCCUGGCAUGUGCAGGUGUGUGUGCUGGUCCCUAGCAUGAGCAGGUGUGUGCAUCAGGCCCUGGCAUGAGCAGGUGUGUGUGCUGGUCCCUGGAUGAGCAAGUGUGUGCAUUAGGCCCUGGCAUGAGCAGGUGUGUGUACUGGUCCCUGGCAUGAGCAGGUGUGUGUGCAUCAGGCCCUGGAAUGUGCAGGUGUGUGUGCUGGUCCCUGGCACGGGCAGGUGUGUGUGCUGGUCCCUGGCACGGGCAGGUGUGUGUGCUGAUCCCUGCCAUGUGCAGGUGUGUGUGCUGGUCCCUGGAUGAGCAGGUAUGUGCAUUAGGCCCUGGCACGAGCAGGUGUGUGUGCUGGUCCCAGGUGUGUGCCGGUGGGCGCUGCAGGGUGCAGGUUGUUGUCCCGGCCCUCCCAGAAGCAGAGGUGCCUCUGGCACUGCAGGAGCCGGAACCAAGCCAGGUGACCCUCGUCCAGUAGGAGCAGGCAGGGUGGUGUGGCUAGGGCCAGGCCUGGAAAGCACUGUGAGCCCAGCGCCCGGAUCGCUUGUGUGCACUGGGCCCCCAGGGCUGUCUGUGGCUGCCAGCACUGCCCACCCGUGGCGUCAGGGCUGGGCCAGCUGGACUGGGCAGAGGGGGGCUACAACCCUGCCUCUAAAUCCAGGCCCUCACCAUGGGACCCUCGGCCACUUGAGCAUGCACGCUGAGGUCGAGGCCUGGGUGUGUGCCUGCCUGUUCCAGUGGGUAGGCCGUGUGGCUUCCGCCUGCACCCGCCCUGCGUGCAGCUCGUGGGUGGCUCUGUGAGAGCAGAGUGUGUGCCGGGGCCCCUGUGUCUCCACGUGGCUGCGCUGGGCUGGGCACACCUGUGCGUACCGGGGUCCUGUGUUUCUUUCUGGGCCGUCUGCGUGUCCGUCUGGAAGGGUGUGUGCGUGCCACGUGUGGAUCUGCACGUAAGUGACGGGUAUGGCCUGGGUGCCGGGGUGUGACCCGCGGCUUCACGUGCAGGGGUGCAAGUGUGCCCGGGGGCCUUGCUCCUGUGUGUCUAUAAGUGGGCCUCAGGCGCGUGUCCGUCCCCAGUAGUGUCCCUGCCGAGGCGACCCGGGAAGUUGUCACCUGACCUGCUUUAUAGACCGUACUUAACGGGGUUUGGUUCUGUGAGGUUUAUUCCCAGCAAAUCCCCAAUUACUGCUCAUCCUCGACAGCUUGUCCUGAAAGCUUGGUGCAGCCUCCCCGGCACGCAUCACAUGUGCCUUAGUGCCGUGAAGUCAAUUGGAAAGUCAUUUUCUCCAUUCAGCUGCUGGGAACUGGGGAUGUGAUGACCCAUCUCCCUCCGGAGCAGGGCUUGGGGGUUCCUUUAUUAAAGGGAGAUGCGGGUCUGGAUGCCUGCCGGGGCCGGGAGGCCAGCUGGGUGCGGUGCACGGCGUGUUCUGGAAGGGCCUGGGCUCACAGAGGCUCCAGGGCUGUGGACAGGAGCAGAGGCAGAGCAGCAGCGAUGACACUGGCCACCACCUGCAGUGAGCCCGGGAGGCCUCAGGCCCUCCACGUGGACAUUGUCACCCUGGCAAUGACCCCCAGCCUCUAGGUGAGGACACUGAGGCGCAGGGGUCAGAGAACCCACCACGGGUGCCCACUGAGGGGCCUAGCUGAGACCAGGAGCCGGCAGGCCCGCCCGCAGGUCCCCUCCCUUCCUCAGACCGCCCUCCUCCCGCCCCCAAGUGUUUGCUGACCCGAAUGGCCAGUGUCCCUGCUCACCAGCCUCGCCGUGGGGAAGAUGGUGAAUAAAGCCAGUGAGAACCGCUGCUAGCUGGAGGCGGUGAGGGCCGUGGCGGACAGGUGGUAGGGAGGGGCAAGGCCAGGCUGCAGGUGGGCACAGUGUCCGUGGCGGGGCAGGAGUGCCUGCCACAGGGCCACGGAGGGGGGCUGCUGUGGCCAGCAGGGCACCCCUGCCUGUCCCCCGCACCACCGUGCCCAGGCAGCGGGGCCCUGUGCUGGCACACUCCGGCAUCUAGGGAGACCCACGGCCUGGGUAAUGGUUACAGAAGGUUCCUUCACUCCUGUGCCUGGGCCUCCGUUCCCCCGACGUGGGCGUCCCUGUGUGGUCCCUGCUCGGGCGGGUUGGGCCUCCUCACAGCUCAGGGGCCGCACCCAGGGUCCCGAGGGCAGGAGCCAGGAGGAAGCAUUGGUGGUGGCUCCCACACCCUCUCGUCACCAGACCCACCUGGACUCGCGGGGCGGGACUGGGGCCCCUUUUCUCAGCAGGAGGGUGCCCACACUUCGUGAGAUGGGCACAGGCUGCUGUGGGCUACACCCCACCACACAAGCCCCUUACCUGUGGACGAGGGGCAAGCAGGCUUGUAUACCUGAGCAUACAUGCAGCCGGGGGGCCUCGGGCCACCCCAGCUCCCGGGGAUGGUAGCUCCUGGCUCUGCACCUGCUUUCCCACUCCUGGCAGGAGGGUGCAGCCCGCCUUCUGCCCGAGGUAGCGGGAUGGGUACGUGCAGACCACUUGGCAGGUUUGCCCCUUGAGCCAGGGACCUCUGUGGUUAAAGAUGGGGGUUGCAGUAUGAGAUGGGGGUGCACUCGGGUCCCACUGAGGUGUUAGAUGGCAGGAGGGUGGGUGGGCGCGCGCAGUGAAACCCUGGCCAGCCAUACGCCCCCCGGGGGAGGGGGGGCGGGGAGGUGCCUGGGGUGCCCCUCGCUGUCCUGAGACCUGUUGGCUCCCCAGGAAUGGCCCAGCACUCACGGUCCCCAGCCACCCCCCUGAACAGCACAGGCCUUCGCUGACCCAAUCAGCGCUGGCAGACCCCAAAGCAGGCUCUCUCUUUAUGAGGCAGGUUUAUGACAUCCAUUACCCUGCUCCUUGGGCCACUUCUGAGCGGCCGUAAUUUGUACAAAAGCAAUAAAAGCCAGUCAGCCUCCCCCUGGAGUCGGGGAGCUGCGUUCUCCUCACGACCUCUGAGCACGGAGGCAGUCCUUAAGCCAGCUGCUGGGGAAGUGCCGCCGCUCAGAGGAUGGUGGGGACGGCGGGGUGUGUCCUGAGCACAGCGUCCUGACCUGUGAUGCAGCCCCAGCCUGGCCAGGCUUUUGUCAGAUCCCCUGUCCACCCGCCCCUGCACCCACCCUUCACUCGGCCCACCUCCUAGGGCCCUGGGGUGCAGCCAUGGCCCACAUCUGUCCAGCUGGUAGGACACGGGAGUCCUUCCCUUGGGUUGGUAAGGAGCCCUGGGUCCCUGUCCCCCAGCACUUCGGCUGUGGCUGGGCUCAGGGGGUGUCAGCCCCAGCCUGCCCGCGCCACCUCCUCGGGCUGGUUGUAGGGUUGUCAGCAUGGCCCUUGGGUACAUCCCAGAGUGUAUUUGCAGGGAAGCCAACCCUGAUGUGGAGACAGACGAGGGAGUGGCCUAGCAGAGCUGGGCUGGCCCUUUAAUGCUCAUUCAGUAGAUGUGGCACCAGGAGGGGUGUGGCCUGAGGGGCCCCUGCUCCUGAGCUUCCUUCCCGUGGGCCCUGCUGCAGGUGGCCGACUCUCAGCAGCUAGGUUGCAGGUUCUUCCAGAAAGGGGGCAGGGCAGUGAAUUGCUGUGCAGCCCCAGGUAGAGCAGGACAGAACAGAGGAUGAAAAGAUAAACAGGUGACCUGACCUACCCAGUGCUUUAGCUGGUGGCAAGUGCUGAGGAGAAAGAUGCACCAGGCAGA